GACGAGCGCUGGCGGCGUGCUUAACACAUGCAAGUCGAGCGGAAAGGCCCCUUCGGGGGUACUCGAGCGGCGAACGGGUGAGUAACACGUGGGUAACCUGCCCCUGACUCUGGGAUAACUCCGGGAAACCGGGGCUAAUACCGGAUAUUCACACAUGCUCGCAUGGGUGUGUGUGGAAAGUUUUUCGGUUGGGGAUGGGCCCGCGGCCUAUCAGCUUGUUGGUGGGGUGAUGGCCUACCAAGGCGACGACGGGUAGCCGGCCUGAGAGGGCGACCGGCCACACUGGGACUGAGACACGGCCCAGACUCCUGCGGGAGGCAGCAGUGGGGAAUAUUGCGCAAUGGGCGGAAGCCUGACGCAGCGACGCCGCGUGAGGGACGACGGCCUUCGGGUUGUAAACCUCUUUCAGCUCCGACGAAGCGAAAGUGACGGUAGGGGCAGAAGAAGCGCCGGCUAACUACGUGCCAGCAGCCGCGGUAAUACGUAGGGCGCAAGCGUUGUCCGGAUUUAUUGGGCGUAAAGAGCUCGUAGGCGGUUUGCCGCGUCGGUUGUGAAAACUCGAAGCUUAACUUUGGGCGUGCAGUCGAUACGGGCAGACUAGAGGCAUGCAGGGGAGAAUGGAAUUCCUGGUGUAGCGGUGAAAUGCGCAGAUAUCAGGAGGAACACCGGUGGCGAAGGCGGUUCUCUGGGCAUGUCCUGACGCUGAGGAGCGAAAGCGUGGGGAGCGAACAGGAUUAGAUACCCUGGUAGUCCACGCCGUAAACGUUGGGCGCUAGGUGUGGGGGGCUUUCCACGUCCUCCGUGCCGCAGCUAACGCAUUAAGCGCCCCGCCUGGGGAGUACGGCCGCAAGGCUAAAACUCAAAGGAAUUGACGGGGGCCCGCACAAGCGGCGGAGCAUGUGGCUUAAUUCGAUGCAACGCGAAGAACCUUACCUGGGUUUGACAUGGGAGGAAAAGCCGUGGAGACACGGUGUCCGUAAGGGCCUUUCACAGGUGGUGCAUGGCUGUCGUCAGCUCGUGUCGUGAGAUGUUGGGUUAAGUCCCGCAACGAGCGCAACCCUCGUCCCAUGUUGCCAGCACGUUAUGGUGGGGACUCAUGGGAGACUGCCGGGGUCAACUCGGAGGAAGGUGGGGAUGACGUCAAGUCAUCAUGCCCCUUAUGUCCAGGGCUGCACACAUGCUACAAUGGCCGGUACAAUGGGCUGCGAUACCGCAAGGUGGAGCGAAUCCCAAAAAGCCGGUCUCAGUUCGGAUUGGGGUCUGCAACUCGACCCCAUGAAGUCGGAGUCGCUAGUAAUCGCAGAUCAGCAAUGCUGCGGUGAAUACGUUCCCGGGCCUUGUACACACCGC
rnacentral:rRNA from 1 species